CCUACGGGAGGCUGCAGUGGGGAAUAUUGCACAAUGGGGGAAACCCUGAUGCAGCGACGCCGCGUGAGUGAAGAAGUAUUUCGGUACGUAAAGCUCUAUCAGCAGGGAAGAAAAUGACGGUACCUGACUAAGAAGCCCCGGCUAACUACGUGCCAGCAGCCGCGGUAAUACGUAGGGGGCAAGCGUUAUCCGGAUUUACUGGGUGUAAAGGGAGCGUAGGUGGCAGGGCAAGUCAGAUGUGAAAGCCCGGGGCUCAACCCCGGUACUGCAUUUGAAACUGUCCAGCUGGAGUGCAGGAGAGGUAAGCGGAAUUCCUAGUGUAGCGGUGAAAUGCGUAGAUAUUAGGAGGAACACCAGUGGCGAAGGCGGCUUACUGGACUGUAACUGACACUGAGGCACGAAAGCGUGGGGAGCAAACAGGAUUAGAUACCCUUGUAGUC
rnacentral:rRNA from 1 species